AUCCAGCUGACGAGUCCUGAAUUGGACGAAACGCAUGUCCUGAAU
rfam:Schistosoma curassoni strain Dakar, Senegal genome assembly, scaffold: SCTD_contig0000365